AGUAAUACAUCGGAAUGUGUCUUCUAGUGGGGGAUAACUGCCCGAAAGGGCAGCUAAUACCGCAUGAGGCCUGAGGGUGAAAGCGGGGGAUCGCAAGACCUCGCGCUGGAAGAGCGGCCGAUGUCCGAUUAGCUAGUUGGUGAGGUAAAGGCUCACCAAGGCGACGAUCGGUAGCUGGUCUGAGAGGACGACCAGCCACACUGGGACUGAGACACGGCCCAG
rnacentral:rRNA from 1 species